CGCGAGGGCCAGAGGUAUUUCCGGUUCCGGUGCGGGGACUUUCGUUCUUGGUGGUCAGUUGUUGCAGUUGGUGGGUAGUAACUGAGCCAAGAUGCUGCGGAAUCUGCUGGUGAGGAGCUUCUCGGCUUGCGUUAAUAUGCAGC
rnacentral:miRNA from 1 species